rnacentral:rRNA from 1 species
AACCUCCGCAAUGUGAGAAAUCGCGACGGGGGGAUCCCAAGUGCCAUUCUUAACGGGAUGGCUUUUCAUUAGUGUAAAGAGCUUUUGGAAUAAGAGCUGGGCAAGACCGGUGCCAGCCGCCGCGGUAACACCGGCAGCUCUAGUGGUAGCAGUUUUUAUUGGGCCUAAAGCGUCCGUAGCCGGUUUAAUAAGUCUCUGGUGAAAUCCUGUAGCUUAACUGUGGGAAUUGCUGGAGAUACUAUUAGACUUGAGACCGGGAGAGGUUAGAGGUACUCCCAGGGUAGAGGUGAAAUUCUGUAAUCCUGGGAGGACCGCCUGUUGCGAAGGCGUCUAACUGGAACGGUUCUGACGGUGAGGGACGAAAGUUAGGGGCGCGAACCGGAUUAGAUACUCGGGUAGUCCUAACUGUAAACGAUGCGGACUUGGUGUUGGGGUGGCUUUGAGCUGCUCCAGUGCCGAAGGGAAGCUGUUAAGUCCGCCGCCUGGGAAGUACGGUCGCAAGACUGAAACUUAAAGGAAUU